CACGACCUUGAACUUUCUUGAACCAGAAAAUGGCGACCAGGAAGUGAUUUUGGGAAGUGAUCGUGAUGGUGUUUGCUGUUUUAUAGGCAAAAUAUGAAAUGUCAUGGAUACCUUAUCAGCCCGUGGAUACAUAAGGUCUUGCUUGCUGGCCGCAGUUUGACCCAACAGCCACACAGAGGGAGAGAUGCAGUCACAGAGUGGUGUGGACAGCCCAGUGCCAUCCAACCUGGACUUGGUGACCAGUGAGAAGUUUUCAGCACUCAUCCUGGUGACAGUCCUGGAUAUCUGGGGUGGAGAGGCACUUUCUGACUCUUCAGAUUGAAAGAUGAAGAACACUGCCACAUCCAAGGGAGAUAAUCCACUUUCAACGCACCUGCCAAUCAAGCAACUUCAGUAACCUAUGCUGUCUAGUGAUGUGAAGCACCUCCACACCUCCAUAUCAGUUCUCACCUGUGCAACGCCUGGGUCACCUACUUUCCUCCAUCUUCCUGAGGCAAGGGAAUAAACUGACUAUAAGAGUCCUGUUUCCACCCUUACCGAACUACGCUGGAAUUUCAUGGCUCGAUCCUAGCGCCACCAGUGGCAGUUACGUGUUAUGGCCCUUCUACGUCCCUCCAACUGACCAGUCAGUUUCCAUCUCCCUCUCGUAUCACUUCCAUUUGCUUCAAACGAUAUGGCGGCACAUAGUCAAGAUGAUCUGAUCUAUAAUCAAGAUCUAUAUUGUAAUAAAAUGGGUCUUACGCCCAGUUGACAGUACACAUGCUCUGGAAAUCCUGCAGUCGAACGAAAGCUGCACGAUGGAAUCCAUGUUGUUUAUGAACCGGAUGUCUAGUUUCUUAUGCGAUUUUCAUUGGACUAUGCAAAGACUCAUUAGUCCAGCCACAAUGUAACUCCAGACUUCGAGCCUAGUUAUGCAAGGGUGGAAACUGGACUUUUAUAGUCAGAUAACUCCCUUGCCUCGGGAAGAUGACUUUCUUCCUGCUGCCCGAAG